GAUCAUGGCUCAGGAUGAACGCUGGCGGCGUGCUUAACACAUGCAAGUCGAACGAUUGAAGCUGGAGCUUGCUCCGGCCGAUUUAGUGGCGGACGGGUGAGUAACGCGUGGGUAACCUGCCUCAUACAGGGGGAUAGCAGUUGGAAACGACUGGUAAAACCGCAUAAGCGCACGGUGUCGCAUGACACAGUGUGAAAACACUCCGGUGGUAUGAGAUGGACCCGUGU
rnacentral:rRNA from 1 species